GAGUAGGUCGGGUCAUCUUUGGCAUUCCGUGCCUUGUCGUCUCCCGAUCUCUGCUUUCAUCUUCACCUGGCGUUAUCCCAGGGCGACAGUCAUCUUUUUUCACUGGAACACACCCCAGAGGGGCAUACCGUUGGAAGCAGAAACGUUUGGCAUUAAGAAGUCACCAUCUGGUCCCCCGGUACAUAGUUGUGCAUUCUUCGCUGUGGGUUCUUCCAGCUGUGGCAUGUGGGACACCGCCCCAGCGUGGUCCGAUGAGCAGUGCCAUGUCCGCGCCCAGGAUUCGAACCAACGAAACACUGGGCCACCUGCAGCGGAGCGCGCGAACUUAACCACUCGGCCACGGGGCCAGCCCCUUGUGUUUCCUUUUUUAAACAGCUUCAUUGAUGUAAUUCACAGACCAUAA
rnacentral:lncRNA from 1 species